UACGUAGGUGACCAGCGUUGUCCGGAUUUACUGGGCGUAAAGAGCGCGCAGGCGGUCGUUCAAGUCGAGUGUGAAAGCCCCCGGCUCAACUGGGGAGGGUCAUUCGAUACUGAUCGACUCGAAGGCAGGAGAGGGAAGCGGAAUUCCCGGUGUAGUGGUGAAAUGCGUAGAUAUCGGGAGGAACACCAGUGGCGAAGGCGGCUUCCUGGACCGACAUUGACGCUGAUGAGCGAAAGCUAGGGGAGCAAACGGGG
rnacentral:rRNA from 1 species